UCGAGCGCAGGAAGCUCACGGAACUCUUCGGAGGGAAGUGAAGGGAAUGAGCGGCGGACGGGUGAGUAACACGUAAGGAACCUGCCCCAAGGAUUGGGAUAACUCCGAGAAAUCGGAGCUAAUACCGAAUAGUUCUUCAGACCGCAUGGUCUGAUGAUGAAAGGCGCUCCGGCGUCACCUUGGGAUGGCCUUGCGGUGCAUUAGCUAGUUGGUGGGGUAAUGGCCCACCAAGGCGACGAUGCAUAGCCGACCUGAGAGGGUGAUCGGCCACACUGGGACUGAGACACGGCCCAGACUCCUACGGGAGGCAGCAGUAGGGAAUCUUCCACAAUGGACGAAAGUCUGAUGGAGCAACGCCGCGUGAGUGAUGAAGGUUUUCGGAUCGUAAAACUCUGUUGUAAGGGAAGAACAGGCAUGAGAGGUAAUGCUCAUGCUAUGACGGUACCUUACGAGAAAGCCACGGCUAACUACGUGCCAGCAGCCGCGGUAAUACGUAGGUGGCAAGCGUUGUCCGGAAUUAUUGGGCGUAAAGCGCGCGCAGGCGGCCUUUUAAGUCUGAUGUGAAAGCCCCCGGCUCAACCGGGGAGGGUCAUUGGAAACUGGAAGGCUUGAGUACAGAAGAGAAGAGUGGAAUUCCAUGUGUAGCGGUGAAAUGCGUAGAGAUGUGGAGGAACACCAGUGGCGAAGGCGACUCUUUGGUCUGUAACUGACGCUGAGGCGCGAAAGCGUGGGGAGCAAACAGGAUUANAUACCCUGGUAGUCCCGCCGUAAACGAUGAGUGCUAGGUGUUGGGGGGUUUCCNCCCUCAUGCUGAAGCUAACGCAUNAACACUCCCCUGGGNANUCGGCCCAAGNUGAACUCAAG
rnacentral:rRNA from 1 species